CGCCUGGGGAGUACGGGUGAGGUAACGGCUCACCAAGGCAUCGACGGGUAGCUGGUCUGAGAGGAUGAUCAGCCACACUGGGACUGAGACACGGCCCAGACUCCUACGGGAGGCAGCAGUAGGGAAUAUUGCACAAUGGGCGAAAGCCUGAUGCAGCAACGCCGCGUGCGGGAAGAAGGCCCUAGGGUUGUAAACCGCUUUCAGCAGGGAAGAAAAUGACGGUACCUGCAGAAGAAGGUGCGGCCAACUACGUGCCAGCAGCCGCGGUGACACGUAGGCACCAAGCGUUGUCCGGAUUUAUUGGGCGUAAAGAGCUCGUAGGCGGUUCAGUUAGUCGGGUGUGAAAACUCUGGGCUCAACCCAGAGACGCCACUCGAUACUGCUGUGACUAGAGUGCGGUAGGGGAGCGGGGAAUUCCUAGUGUAGCGGUGAAGUGCGCAGAUAUUAGGAGGAACACCAGUGGCGAAGGCGCCGCUCUGGGCCGUAACUGACGCUGAGGAGCGAAAGCGUGGGUAGCAAACAGGAUUAGAUACCCUGGUAGUCCACGCCGUAAACGUUGGGCACUAGGUGUGGGUCUCAACCAACGAGAUCCGCGCCGUCGCUAACGCAUUAAGUGCCCCGCCUGGGGAGUACGG
rnacentral:rRNA from 1 species